AUCUCAUAAUCCUUACUUUUAUCCAUGUUUGUUGUAGUAAUAUCUGAUAUAUGGGCCAUCGGUUCACACAGUAUUAACUUAAUUUUUUAAGGGGAAGAGUCCACUAAAGUAGCUUGCGCUUGGGCUCUUGCACGUCGGCCAUGCGUUGCACUAUUGCACGGGCCUGGCGCACCCCAC
rnacentral:snRNA from 1 species